rnacentral:rRNA from 1 species
AACGAACGCUGGCGGCAGGCUUAACACAUGCAAGUCGAACGCUCGUAGCAAUACGGGAGUGGCGGACGGGUGAGUAACGCGUGGGAACGUGCCCUGAGGUACGGAAUAACUGAGGGAAACUUCAGCUAAUACCGUAUGAGCCCCGAGAGGGGGGAAAGAUUUAUCGCCUUGGGAGCGGCCCGCGUCGGAUUAGCUAGUUGGUGGGGUAACGGCCUACCAAGGCUUCGAUCCGUAGCUGGUCUGAGAGGACGAUCAGCCACACUGGGACUGAGACACGGCCCAGACUCCUACGGGAGGCAGCAGUGGGGAAUCUUGCGCAAUGGGGGGCAACCCUGACGCAGCCAUGCCGCGUGAACAAUGAAGGCCUUAGGGUUGUAAAGUUCUUUUACCCGUGACGAUGAUGACGGUAACGGGGGAAUAAGCUCCGGCUAACUUCGUGCCAGCAGCCGCGGU